GGCUCUUUUUGCCUGCCGCCAUCCACGUAAGGUAUGAUUUGCCCCUCCUUGCCUUCUGCCAUGAUUGUGAGGCCUCCCCAGCCACGUGAAACUGAAGGAGAGUGCAUGAGAUUAUAUAAAGACUCAGAGAAGAGAUACAGCUCCUCCCGCACCAGAGAAAUGCAGCUCCGUGAGCCCCGAUGGAGCCAGCAUGCUGCUGGGUGCUGAGGAGCAGGCAGAGGCACCCAGGAUGGCGGUCCCCAAGGAGAACGGAGGCACAGAACAACGCAUGAGGGGCCACAUGACUUAGGGCCGGGAUCGGUCACUCAGCCAGCAAAAACACUGGAAGAAAACAAAACAACUUCAGACUCUAUGCUGCAUUUCCGUAAUAUAUCUGCCCAAAGACUGGACAACAAAGGUAAAGGAGGCUGAUGAGGAAACGAAAGGAUCCGUGGUUCUUGGCUCGCUGGGUGGCUCAUCAACAAAGCCCCAGCAUCACUCCUGCAGAUGCCCUAGCCUGGCCUGGGCUGGGAUGGGCAAAAUUCACCAUGGGACUCUUGUUCAAGAGAGGGAGAUCAAAGCCAGAAACACUUACCCAGAAUGGCCAUGCAGACUAAAAUUCCAAUUCUAAAAAUACUUUUAAAAUGUAACGUACAACAAAGGAAAGCUGGAAAAAUAUUUAAAAAAGGAUGAAAGGGCAAGAAAAAUUCAACCCACGACCUCAAGGCGAUUAUAAUCUGUGUUCUGCUGCUUCCCAGAGCCGCUUCAGUCUUCAGCUCAGAGUCUACCAGACACUAAAAUGCAACUGAACACUCAGUUCAUACUUGUUCUUCUAAUUAGCUGCCUCUUCCAUUUGAUUAAUAUUGCCUCCUAAUUUAAUUGUAAAUUGUAUUUCUGGUUUAUAUUUCGCUUCUCCCUCCUGUUGUACCUGGUGACCAUCUUCAUUAAUCAUAUUGUAGCUUUUUAAUGAAUCUCAUAUGCCAAUUUAUGGUGAACAAGACUUGAUAUGAAGGCAUCUUCAUCAAAUCAUUCAUAAUCUUGUAACUAUUGGUUUAUUUUCUGUAACGACCUAUAAAUGUACACCAAAAAAAUGAAAGAUUCCCCCUAAAAUGUAAUGGGACAGAACUUUGUUUACGUAGAUUUCUGAGGAUGGGUUGAGACGCCAAAUUCCGCUUGUGUUUGGAAUUUCUAUUUCACUGGGCUUAGUGAGGGUGCCCAUGUUUUGCAAUCCUGUGCUCUAGAAUCUAUCAUAAACAGAUUCUUCUAAUUGUUUGACAUUAAACUGCAAAUUUGUGUUUUUGUGUCUGCUCAAAUAUAAAAUGUCUUUGGGAAAAAU
rnacentral:lncRNA from 1 species